GCGGAGAUGUCGGAAUUGGCAGACGAGCAAGACUAAGGAUCUUGUGCCAGCAAUGGCGUGUGGGUUCAAGUCCCAUUCUCCGCA
rnacentral:tRNA from 1 species